AGGGAACCAGUACCGUGAGGGAAAGGUGAAAAGCACCCCGGAAGGGGAGUGAAACAGUUCCUGAAACCGUGUGCCUACAAGUAGUUAGAGCCCGUUAAUGGGUGAUUGCGUGCCUUUUGUAGAAUGAGCCGGCGAGUUACGAUUUGUUGCAAGGUUAAGCGGAAAAAGCGGAGCCGUAGCGAAAGCGAGUCUGAAUAGGGCGCAUAAGUAACAGGUCGUAGACCCGAAACCAGGUGAUCUACCCAUGUCCAGGAU
rnacentral:rRNA from 1 species